GACGAACGCUGGCGGCGUGCCUAAUACAUGCAAGUAGAACGCUGAAGGAGGAGCUUGCUCUUCUGGAUGAGUUGCGAACGGGUGAGUAACGCGUAGGUAACCUGCCUGGUAGCGGGGGAUAACUAUUGGAAACGAUAGCUAAUACCGCAUAAGAGUAGAUGUUGCAUGACAUUUGCUUAAAAGGUGCAAUUGCAUCACUACCAGAUGGACCUGCGUUGUAUUAGCUAGUUGGUGGGGUAACGGCUCACCAAGGCGACGAUACAUAGCCGACCUGAGAGGGUGAUCGGCCACACUGGGACUGAGACACGGCCCAGACUCCUACGGGAGGCAGCAGUAGGGAAUCGUCGGCAAUGGACGGAAGUCUGACCGAGCAACGCCGCGGGAGUGAAGAAGGUUUUCGGAUCGUAAAGCUCUGUUGUAAGGGAAGAACGAGUGUGAGAGUGGAAAGUUCACACUGUGACGGUAUCUGACCAGAAAGGGACGGCUAACUACGUG
rnacentral:rRNA from 1 species